rnacentral:rRNA from 1 species
AUUGAACGCUGGCGGCAGGCUUAAGACAUGCAAGUCGAGCGGGGUGAUGGUGCUUGCACUAUCACUUAGCGGCGGACGGGUGAGUAAUGCUUAGGAAUCUGCCUAUUAGUGGGGGACAACACCUCGAAAGGGAUGCUAAUACCGCAUACGUCCUACGGGAGAAAGCAGGGGAUCGCUUGUGACCUUGCGCUAAUAGAUGAGGCUAAGUCGGGUUAGCUAAGUGGUGGGGUAAAGGCCUACCAAGGCGACGAUCUGUAGCGGGUCUGAGAGGAUGAUCCGCCACACUGGGACUGAGACACGGCCCAGACUCCUACGGGAGGCAGCAGUGGGGAAUAUUGGACAAUGGGGGGAACCCUGAUCCAGCCAUGCCGCGUGUGUGAAGAAGGCCUUAUGGUUGUAAAGCACUUUAAGCGAGGAGGAGGCUCUUUUGGUUAAUACCCAAGAUGAGUGGACGUUACUCGCAGAAUAAGCACCGGCUAACUCUGUGCCAGCCGCCGCGGUAA